GAUGAAGAACGUAGCGAAAUGCGAUAAGUAAUGUGAAUUGCAGAAUUCAGUGAAUCAUCGAAUCUUUGAACGCACAUUGCGCCCCCUGGUAUUCCGGGGGGCAUGCCUGUCCGAGCGUCAUUGCUGCCCUCAAGCACGGCUUGUGUGUUGGGCCCCCGCCCCCCGGUUCCCGGGGGGCGGGCCCGAAAGGCAGCGGCGGCACCGCGUCCGGUCCUCGAGCGUAUGGGGCUUCGUCACCCGCUCCGUAGGCCCGGCUGGCGCCCGCCGGCGACCCCCCUUCAAUCUUUCCAGGUUGACCUCGGAUCAGGUAGGGAUACCCGCUGAACUUAAGCAUAUCAAUAAGCGGAGGA
rnacentral:misc_RNA from 1 species